rnacentral:rRNA from 1 species
GAUGAACGCUGGCGGCGUGCCUAAUACAUGCAAGUCGAACGCAUAGCGAAAGGUGCUCGCACCUUUCAAGUGAGUGGCGAACGGUUGAGUAACACGUGGACAACCUGCCUCAAGGCUGGGGAUAACAUUUGGAAACAGAUGCUAAUACCGAAUAAAACUUAGUGUCGCAUGACCCAAAGUUAAAAGGCUCUUCGGCGUCACCUAGAGAUGGAUCCGCGGUGCAUUAGUUAGUUGGUGGGGUAAAGGCCUACCAAGACAAUGAUGCAUAGCCGAGUUGAGAGACUGAUCGGCCACAUUGGGACUGAGACACGGCCCAAACUCCUACGGGAGGCUGCAGUAGGGAAUCUUCCACAAUGGGCGAAAGCCUGAUGGAGCAACGCCGCGUGUGUGAUGAAGGCGUUCGGGUCGUAAAGCACUGUUGUAUGGGAAGAACAGCUAGAAGAGGAAAUGAUUUUAGUUUGACGGUACCAUACCAGAAGGGGACGGCUAAAUACGUG